UACGUAGGCAGCGAGCGUUGUUCGGAGUUACUGGGCGUAAAGGGUGCGCAGGCGGUGGAGCAAGUCUGUUGUGAAAUCUCCCGGCUUAACCGGGGAGGGUGCGGCGGAAACUGUUCUGCUGGAGUGAGGGAGAGGCAAGCGGAAUUCCUGGUGUAGCGGUGAAAUGCGUAGAUAUCAGGAGGAACACCCGUGGUGCAGACGGCUUGCUGGACCUCCACUGACGCUGAGGCACGAAAGCGUGGGGAGCAAACAGG
rnacentral:rRNA from 1 species